rnacentral:lncRNA from 1 species
CUCUAAGCUUGCACAGUGGUUAUGCAAGAUUUCUAUGUCUAUGGUCUCUCUGAUCUCUAUGUCUAUUUGUUUCAUUACAGUGAGAAGCUGGAAAAAUAUCUGUGAAGUUUAAACAAGUUUGGACAAUGCAAAAUCUGUGAAGUUUAAACAAGUUUGGACAAUGCAAACUGCUGGAUAAUAACUUAAAGCAGUCGAUUUGAUGAAUGUGGUUGUGCCAAGCAGUAUGUGACUAACUUGAAACUGUGAGAGUGGCAGAGAAAUAAGAUAUCAUGGUCAAAGUCAUGGUCACUUAUAAAGAAAAGGGAGGACUGUUAAUUCAAAUGGCAACUUUUCUAAAACCAAGGCAGAACAAAAGAUUUGAAGGGGCAAUCAGCACAAAAUUUUAGAGGCUGACUGCACAGACAUGAUUGUUCUGCAAACAGUGAUUGCUAUUGUCAUACUGAAAAAUGUCUGCUAAAUAAUGAAAUGGUCCAUUUCAGAAAAAUGUUUGUGUCUCACUGGCUCAUCUCAGUUUACUGUAAACUGUAAAUUCCCAUAAUCUUCCUCUGUUUAGGGUAUAAAUUUAAACUUCUUCCUUUCCCAGGUAGCUUUCUAUUCAAUAAUAUAUAUGUUAUAUUUUUCUAUUUGUAAUUAUGCAUAGUUCUUAUUAAAGAUGUUUCUACUCCUAACAUAUGCACAUAAUAGAAUGCACUUAUGCAGCAAAACUACACUGAAAUAAUGGCAAAGCUUCCAUUUCUUUAGUGCAUGAAAUGCAAUUACAGUGAAGGAGACAGAGUGAGAGAAUUAAUUUUUUAUCCUGAGUAUUAUCAAACUUGGGUGGUACUGAAGAUGCUGGAGUAGGGCAGUUCCUUGGUGCUGGAUCUGCAGACCUCAAAGUUUUGAUCAUUCAGAGAUGGUACUGCUAUAACUCAUCUUAGGAAUUCAGCUGCAUGCGAUGCAAAGCCUGCCUUUCUUAAAACACAGCUUUCUGACCUCAGCCCUUUCAACUGUAAGAGGAAAGAAAAGUUAUUUCUAUGGAAUGUAAGAAAGACAAAAGCAGAGAUGGAAAUUACUACCUCAGUGACUUAAGAGAAAAGCAUCAGUAUGAAAUGAUCUAAAAACCAAGGAAAAAAGCAUUGAUAUGCAGCAAUGCAGCAACACUUGGGGGAAGAGAGAACCCACCUUCAGCUCCUGUAUUAUGACUGAGUCUUAUUGACAUGCCUGCACCAUGAGCAUGCAAAUGCUUAACCUGGAAACGUUAUUAGUAACUGUUCCCC